ensembl:lncRNA
CUGGGAGAUGGGUUGUGAUUGGUGGGUGAGGCUGGGAGAUGGGUUGUGAUUGGUGGGUGAGGAUGGGAGAUGGGUUGUGAUUGGUGGGUGAGGCUGGGAGAUGGGUUGUGAUUGGUGGGUGAGGCUGGGAGAUGGGUUGUGAUCGGUGGGUGAGGCUGGGAGAUGGGUUGUGAUUGGUGGGUGAGGAUGGGAGAUGGGUUGUGAUUGGUGGGUGAGGCUGGGAGAUGGGUUGUGAUCGGUGGGUGAGGCUGGGAGAUGGGUUGUGAUUGGUGGGUGAGGAUGGGAGAUGGGUUGUGAUUGGUGGGUGAGGAUGGGAGAUGGGUUGUGAUUGGUGGGUGGGGAUGGGAGAUGGGUUGUGGUUGGUGGGUGAGGAUGGGAGAUGGGUUGUGAUUGGUGGGUGAGGAUGGGAGAUGGGUUGUGAU